rnacentral:lncRNA from 1 species
ACUGCGGGGAAGCCCCGGACGGCCCAGGCUGUUACUGAGGCGGAGACACGGGUGAUGAUUGGCUUUCUGGGGAGAGAGGAAGUCCUGUGAUUGGCCAGAUCUCUGGAGCUCGCCGACGCGGUGUGAGGACGCUCCCACGGAGGCCGGAAUUGGCUGUGAAAGGACUGAGGCAGCCAUCUGGGGGUAGCGGGCACUCUUAUCAGAGCGGCUGGAGCCGGACCAUCGUCCCAGAGAGCUGGGGCAGGGGGCCGUGCCCAAUCUCCAGGGCUCCUGGGGCCACUG